CCUACGGGAGGCAGCAGUAGGGAAUCUUCCACAAUGGACGAAAGUCUGAUGGAGCAACGCCGCGUGAGUGAAGAAGGGUUUCGGCUCGUAAAGCUCUGUUGGUAGUGAAGAAAGAUAGAGGUAGUAACUGGCCUUUAUUUGACGGUAAUUACUUAGACAGUCACGGCUAACUACGUGCCAGCAGCCGCGGUAAUACGUAGGUGGCAAGCGUUGUCCGGAUUUAUUGGGCGUAAAGCGAGUGCAGGCGGUUCAAUAAGUCUGAUGUGAAAGCCUUCGGCUCAACCGGAGAAUUGCAUCAGAAACUGUUGAACUGGAGUGCAGAAGAGGAGAGUGGAACUCCAUGUGUAGCGGUGGAAUGCGUAGAUAUAGGGAAGAACACCAGUGGCGAAGGCGGCUCUCUGGUCUGCAACUGACGCUGAGGCUCGAAAGCAUGGGUAGCGAACAGGAUUAGAUACCCCAGUAGUC
rnacentral:rRNA from 1 species